rnacentral:rRNA from 1 species
GAGUUUGAUCCUGGCUCAGGACGAACGCUGGCGGCGCGCCUAACACAUGCAAGUCGAACGAGCGAGAGAGAGCUUGCUUUCUCGAGCGAGUGGCGAACGGGUGAGUAACGCGUGAGGAACCUGCCUCAAAGAGGGGGACAACAGUUGGAAACGACUGCUAAUACCGCAUAAGCCCACAGCUCGGCAUCGAGCAGAGGGAAAAGGAGCAAUCCGCUUUGAGAUGGCCUCGCGUCCGAUUAGCUAGUUGGUGAGGUAAUGGCCCACCAAGGCGACGAUCGGUAGCCGGACUGAGAGGUUGAACGGCCACAUUGGGACUGAGACACGGCCCAGACUCCUACGGGAGGCAGCAGUGGGGAAUAUUGCACAAUGGGGGAAACCCUGAUGCAGCGACGCCGCGUGGAGGAAGAAGGUCUUCGGAUUGUAAACUCCUGUUGUUGAGGAAGAUAAUGACGGUACUCAACGAGGAAGUGACGGCUAACUACGUGCCAGCAGCCGCGGUAAAACGUAGGUCACAAGCGUUGUCCGGAAUUACUGGGUGUAAAGGGAGCGCAGGCGGGAAGACAAGUUGGAAGUGAAAUCUAUGGGCUCAACCCAUAAACUGCUUUCAAAACUGUUUUUCUUGAGUAGUGCAGAGGUAGGCGGAAUUCCCGGUGUAGCGGUGGAAUGCGUAGAUAUCGGGAGGAACACCAGUGGCGAAGGCGGCCUACUGGGCACCAACUGACGCUGAGGCUCGAAAGUGUGGGUAGCAAACAGGAUUAGAUACCCUGGUAGUCCACACCGUAAACGAUGAUUACUAGGUGUUGGAGGAUUGACCCCUUCAGUGCCGCAGUUAACACAAUAAGUAAUCCACCUGGGGAGUACGACCGCAAGGUUGAAACUCAAAGGAAUUGACGGGGGCCCGCACAAGCAGUGGAGUAUGUGGUUUAAUUCGACGCAACGCGAAGAACCUUACCAAGUCUUGACAUCCCUUGACGAACAUAGAAAUAUGUUUUCUCUUCGGAGCAAGGAGACAGGUGGUGCAUGGUUGUCGUCAGCUCGUGUCGUGAGAUGUUGGGUUAAGUCCCGCAACGAGCGCAACCCUUACUGUCAGUUACUACGCAAGAGGACUCUGGCAGGACUGCCGUUGACAAAACGGAGGAAGGUGGGGAUGACGUCAAAUCAUCAUGCCCUUUAUGACUUGGGCUACACACGUACUACAAUGGCGUUAAACAAAGAGAAGCAAGACCGCGAGGUGGAGCAAAACUCAGAAACAACGUCCCAGUUCGGACUGCAGGCUGCAACUCGCCCGCACGAAGUCGGAAUUGCUAGUAAUCGUGGAUCAGCAUGCCACGGUGAAUACGUUCCCGGACCUUGUACAGACCGCCCGUC